UACGUAGGGUGCAAGCGUUGUCCGGAAUUACUGGGCGUAAAGAGCUCGUAGGUGGUUUGUCGCGUUGUUCGUGAAAACUCACAGCUCAACUGUGGGCGUGCGGGCGAUACGGGCAGACUAGAGUACUGCAGGGGAGACUGGAAUUCCUGGUGUAGCGGUGGAAUGCGCAGAUAUCAGGAGGAACACCGGUGGCGAAGGCGGGUCUCUGGGCCGAUACUGACGCUGAGGAGCGAAAGCGUGGGGAGCGAACAGG
rnacentral:rRNA from 1 species